CCACCUGAUGCCAACUGAUGGC
rnacentral:misc_RNA from 1 species